rnacentral:rRNA from 1 species
ACGGGGCGCAGCAGGCGCGAAACCUUCACAAUGUGCGAAAGCGCGAUGAGGGGAUCCCAAGUGCUUGCUCGUAAGAGUAAGCUGUUUUUAUGUCUAAAACGCAUAGAGAGUAAGGGCUGGGUAAGACGGGUGCCAGCCGCCGCGGUAAUACCUGCAGCUCAAGUGGUGACCGCUAUUAUUGGGCCUAAAACAUUCGUAGCCGGUUUGGUAAAUGCCUGGGUAAAUCGUGUAGCUUAACUAUACGAAUUCCGGGUAGACUGCCAAACUUGAGACCGGGAGAAGCUAGAGGUACUCCUUGGGUAGAGGUGAAAUUCUGUAAUCCUAGGGGGACCACCAGUGGCGAAGGCGUCUAGCUAGAACGGGUUUGACGGUGAGGAAUGAAGCCCUGGGGCGCAAACCGGAUUAGAUACCCGGGUAGUCCAGGGUGUAAACGCUGCUUGCUUGAUGUUAGUUGGGCUCCGAGCCCAAUUAGUGUCGGAGAGAAGUUGUUAAGCAAGCUGCCUGGAAGUACGAUCGCAAGA